rnacentral:rRNA from 1 species
GAUGAACGCUGGCGGCGCGCCUAAUACAUGCAAGUCGAGCGAACGGACGAGAAGCUUGCUUCUCUGAUGUAGGGGCGGCCGGGGGAGUAAACCGUGGAUAACCUACCUAUAAGUCUGGGUAAACCUCGGGAAACCGGAGCUAAUCCCGGAAAAUACUUUGAACCGCAUGGUUCAAAAGUGAAAGACGGUUUUGUUGUCACCUAUAGGUGGAUCCGCGCUGCAUUAGCUUGAUGGUCAGGUAACGGCUUACCAAGGCAACGAUGCAUAGCCGACCUGAGCGGGUGAUCGGCCACACUGGAACUGGGACACGGUCCAGACUCCUGCGGGAGGCAGCAGUAGGGAAUCUUCCGCAAUGGGCGAAAGCCUGACGGAGCAACGCCGCGUGAGUGAUGAAGGUCUUCGGAUCGUAAAACUCUGUUAUUAGGGAAGAACAUAUGUGUAAGUAACUGUGCACAUCUUGACGGUACCUAAUCAGAAAGCCACGGCUAACUACGUG